CCUACGGGAGGCAGCAGUGAGGAAUAUUGGUCAAUGGACGAGAGUCUGAACCAGCCACGUAGCGUGAAGGAUGACUGCCCUAUGGGUUGUAAACUUCUUUUAUAUGGGAAUAAAACAGGGUAUGCAUACCCUCUUGUAUGUACCAUAUGAAUAAGGCUCGGCUAACUCCGUGCCAGCAGCCGCGGUAAUACGGAGGAUCCGAGCGUUAUCCGGAUUUAUUGGGUUUAAAGGGAGCGUAGGUGGAUUGUUAAGUCAGUUGUGAAAGUUUGCGGCUCAACCGUAAAAUUGCAGUUGAAACUGGCAGUCGUGAGUACAGUAGAGGUGGGCGGAAUUCGUGGUGUAGCGGUGAAAUGCUUAGAUAUAACGAAGAAAUCCGAUUGCGAAGGCAGCUCACUGGACUGCAACUGACACUGAUGCUCGAAAGUGUGGGUAUCAAACAGGAUUAGAUACCCCAGUAGUC
rnacentral:rRNA from 1 species